AGAGUUUGAUCCUGGCUCAGGAUGAACGCUAGCUACAGGCUUAACACAUGCAAGUCGAGGGGGCGAGCAUGAACUUAGCUUGCUAAGUUUUGAUGGCGACCGGCGCACGGGUGAGUAACACGUAUCCAACCUGCCGAUGACUCGGGGAUAGCCUUUCGAAAGAAAGAUUAAUACCCGAUGGCAUAGUUCUUCCGCAUGGUGGAACUAUUAAAGAAUUUCGGUCAUCGAUGGGGAUGCGUUCCAUUAGGUU
rnacentral:rRNA from 1 species